AUACUUGUAUGGUAGGGGAGAAACAACAUGAUCAGAAAGGUGGUUUCCCUAGAGCAAAGUUUAGUCAUUGUGUUUUGGUUGUGCUGAUGACUGGGAUUUCCUUACUCAAGGAAAAAAUGUACUAUAAAC
rnacentral:snRNA from 1 species